rnacentral:lncRNA from 1 species
GAGAGAAAUGUACUUACCAACCGUUAAUGCUGAGCUUGGCCGCGUGACUUGCUUGAGCUAAUGGGACGUCAGCAGACACAAAGCAAGCAAAAGCUUGGAAUAUGCUUGUGCAGUUAGAUUUGCCUUCUUGGGCCUUUGCCAUUGCCGGGAGAAGAGCAUGCCCUCCAGAUCGAGAAACCUGGGGAACAAAGCCAGAUACAGCAGGCCUGUGGCUUGAGGCAGAGCCUCCCCAGUAGACCUGCAGAUGCCAGAAUAAGGAGUAAAUGCUGACUGUUGUAUGCCACCAAGUUUUGGAUGGUUUGUUACGCAGCAUUAUUGAGGCCACAGUUGACUGAGUUAAGCUCACUCCACUCCAAGAUCCAGAUGCGUGUCUAUGGAAAUAGACUAAGAUGAGCUGGACUUACAACCAUCAGAGUCAUCCUCAGUCCUGUGUGCUGCUUGGGGAAGACACAAUGGAGCGAAGACAAGGGCAACUGCAGAGGCUCAGGGCAUCCUUGGGCUGGCAGACUGAGAGGAUUUUUACCUGGAAUAUGACACAGAAGACUUCUACAAAUCCUUCUUCGACGCCUCUUGUGCUCAUGUUUUUCAAUGGACAGUGACUGUUUGGAUCUCUCAUGCUCCCUCCUGGUGCCUGAUCACGUACCCAUUCAUUUCUUCAUCACUUUCAUCAACCACCCUCCCAAGAGCAUAUUCCUAGUCCCCCUAAGAAAUGCUGUUUAUUUUCAGCUUCCUUUGUUACACUUACUCCCUACCUGGGUUACAUAAACACACUCAAGCCUCCUUCACAGACUUCCCAGCGUGCUGGAUCUCUUGCUUUCUCAUCAGUACAGAUCAG